rnacentral:tRNA from 14 species
CCUGGUGGUGUAGUGGUUAGCACCUUUGCCUCACAGCAAGAAGGUUCUGGGUUCGAAUCCUGGUUCAACCAGGG